GUGCUCACUGUGGCAGCACAUAUACUUAAAUUGGAAUGAUACAAAGAAGAUUAGCGUGGCCCCUGCUCUAGGAUGACAUGCAAACCGGUGACGCAUUUCAUGUUUUU
rnacentral:snRNA from 1 species